rnacentral:lncRNA from 1 species
UUUUCAUGUUUUUUUGAAUAUUUACCGACCAGUGACGUUGCUUCAAAUUGAUGUUUUUUUGAAUACUUAACGACCAGUGACGUUGCUUCAAAUUGGUAAGUUUCCAUGAGUGUGAAUUCUUCAAAGCCUCAAAGGCCUAAACCAUCACUAUUUUCAAUAACAAGUAAAGAAUAGUUGAAAAGAAAAGGUGUAAAUAAUAUUGUUUGAUGAAUUUUUAAGUUUUUUUUUAUUUUGUAAAAUCAUAUUUCAUUCAGUAACUUAUGUGAUUAAAAUACGAGUAUGAAGAUACAGUCUACUGAGAUGAUCUGUAUCAGUUCGUAAAUUACUAUAGGAGAUAAUACAGACGUGUGUCAUGAAGAUGUAGUUGAAUAGGAGUUCAAGUUUUG